UACGGGGGGGGUAAGCGUUGUUCGGAAUUACUGGGCGUAAAGGGCUCGUAGGCGGCCAACUAAGUCGGACGUGAAAUCCCUCAGCUUAACUGGGGAACUGCGUCCGAUACUGGAUGGCUUGGAUUCGGGAGAGGGAUGCGGAAUUCCAGGUGUAGCGGUGAAAUGCGUAGAUAUCUGGAGGAAUACCGGUGGCGAAGGCGGCAUCCUGGACCGACAUUGACGCUGAGGCACGAAAGCGUGGGGAGCAAACAGG
rnacentral:rRNA from 1 species